rnacentral:rRNA from 1 species
AUUGAACGCUGGCGGCAUGGCUAAAACAUGCAAGUCGAACGAGAACCCCACAAGGGGGGACAGUGGCGGAAGGGUUAGUAAUACCAUCGAACGUACCCCGAGGUGAGGGAUAGGCAUGGGAAACUGUGCGUAAUACCUCAUGAUCUCCAAGGAGCAAAGAUUUAUCGCCUUGAGAGCGGCGAUGGGCCUAUCAGGUAGUUGGCGGGGUAAAGGCCCACCAAGCCUUAGACGGGUAGCGGGUGUGAGAGCACGGCCCGCAACAUCGGGACUGAGACACUGCCCGGACUCCUACGGGAGGCUGCAGUAACGAAUAUUCCGCAAUGCGCGAAAGCGUGACGGAGCAAUGCCGCGUGCAGGAUGAAGCAGCUUCGCUGUGUAAACUGCUGUCAGGGGCUACUAACUAUGAAGAGCCUCAGAGGAAGGACCGGCUAAACUCGUGCCAGCAGCCGCGGUAAUACGAGUGGUCCAAGCGUUAGUCGGAAUCACUGGGCUUAAAGGGUGCGUAGGCGGACCAGAAAGCGUCUUGUGAAAUCCCCCGGCUCAACCGGGGAACAGCAGGGCGAACUACUGGUCUUGAGGAAGGUAGAGGCCGGCAGAACGAUCGGUGGAGCGGUGGAAUGCGUAGGGAUCGAUCGGAAUGCCAAAGGUGAAGACAGCCGGCUGGGCCUUUCCUGACGCUGAGGCACGAAAGCGUGGGGAGCAAACAGGAUUAGAUACCCUGGUAGUCCACGCCCUAAACGAUGCGCACUAGACUGGUGCGGCUCUCACGCCGUAUCGGUCGUAGAGAAAUUGCUAAGUGCGCCGCCUGGGGAGUACGGUCGCAAGGCUAAAACUCAAAGAAAUUGACGGGGGCUCACACAAGCGGUGGAGCAUGUUGCUUAAUUCGAAGCAACGCGAAGAACCUUACCUGGGUUUGACAUGCAUGGAUUAGUUCCUGGAAACAGGAAUGACGCCCGCAAGGGUGGAACAUGCACAGGUGCUGCAUGGCUGUCGUCAGCUCGUGCUGUGAAGUGUCGCGUUAAGUCGCUUAACGAGCGCAACCCCUGUCGCUAGUUGCCAACACGUAAUGGUGGGGACUCUAGCGAGACUGCCGGUGUCAAACCGGAGGAAGGCGGGGAUGACGUCAAGUCCUCAUGGCCCUUACAUCCAGGGUUGCAAACGUGCUACAAUGGCGAGUACAAAGCGAAGCAAGACCGCGAGGUGGAGCAAAUCGCAAAAAACUCGCCCCAGUUCGGAUUGCAGGCUGCAACCCGCCUGCAUGAAGCCGGAAUCGCUAGUAAUCGGAGAUCAGCUACGCUCCGGUGAAUAUGUUCCUGAGCCUUGUACACACCGCCCGUCAAGUCAUGGGAGCCGGUAGUGCCCGAAGCCGCCACUUCUCAGUGGUGUCUACGGCAAGAUCGGUGACUGGGACU